rnacentral:rRNA from 1 species
GACGAACGCUGGCGGCGUGCUUAACACAUGCAAGUCGAACGGAAAGGCCCUGCUUUUGUGGGGUGCUCGAGUGGCGAACGGGUGAGUAACACGUGAGUAACCUGCCCUUGACUUUGGGAUAACUUCAGGAAACUGGGGCUAAUACCGGAUAGGAGCUCCUGCUGCAUGGUGGGGGUAGGAAAGUUUCGGCGGUUGGGGAUGGACUCGCGGCUUAUCAGCUUGUUGGUGGGGUAGUGGCUUACCAAGGCUUUGACGGGUAGCCGGCCUGAGAGGGUGACCGGCCACAUUGGGACUGAGAUACGGCCCAGACUCCUACGGGAGGCAGCAGUGGGGAAUAUUGCACAAUGGGCGGAAGCCUGAUGCAGCAACGCCGCGUGCGGGAUGACGGCCUUCGGGUUGUAAACCGCUUUCGCCUGUGACGAAGCGUGAGUGACGGUAAUGGGUAAAGAAGCACCGGCUAACUACGUG